rnacentral:snRNA from 1 species
AUACUUACCUGGAAGGGGAGAUACCAUGAUCAUGAAGGUGGUUUUCCCAGGGCGAGGCUUACUCACCCUUUGCAUUCUGAAUGUACUGACCCCUAUGAUUUCCCCAAAUGCGGGAAGCUCGACUGCAUAAUUUGUGGUAGUGGGGCACUGCGUUUGCUCUCUCCCCUU